ensembl:lncRNA
CUGAUCCAAAAUCCUCAAAGCUUCAUAGAACUGAAACAAACAUUUAUUUUUAGCUCCAUUCUGCUGCUGAUACAGACUUUAGGUUUCUGAACAUUACACUUGUUGCUGCCUUUCAUAGUGUGUAACUUGAAGGCCCUGAGUACUUUCUCCCACACUGAAAACACUGGGAUGAUCACAUUAUUUGAACAUUACCUAAUAAGACUGAUUCAGGACAGACAAUUAGUUAUGUUAAACUUUCCUAGCAGUCCUUCACAAACAGGGAACAGUCUGUCUAUUCUCUCCAUCUGUCAGCUGCUGCUGGCUCUUCCUCCUCCUCUUCCUCACACACUGCUGAGUUUGUCCUGGUGGAUCAUCAGGGCUGCAAAGCCUCAUAGAUGAUAUGCAGCAGUGGGUCCCUCAGUCUGUCCUCACUCUGGACACUUGCAGUCGUCACACAUGGAAAUCAAAUGUGUGAUAAGCUGCAGGAUUCAAACACAAGUGUAACUUAUAAACACAUGUUCAUACUUUUAUUCCACAAUCAGAAAGAAACAGAGAGAGAGUGCAGGACAGACAGACAGGUGACAGUCUCAGGUGUACACACUGCUACAAACAGGAGGAUUUAGUGUUUGUGUUAUUACGAGUGCUAAACAAGAAGAGUUCCAGAUGGUGCAGUGGACACAUGUGUGACUGCUGUGAUUAAAGCAUCUUUCUUUCAGCUUAACGAGUGAACCGUCAGCUCGUUCAAACACACGUUAAAGUCCGUUUGGCUCGACACCACCGAACAGAGGCAGCAAUAUAACAUAGCUAACAUUAACAGUGCAGUGAAUCCUGCUGGUGCCGUGAUAUUCAGGACUGCAAACCGAGCAGCAUCACUGACUUUCAGCUUGUUGUGUUUGUGGAUAUAUGACUGACUUUAAUUAUCCAUAAAAUCAUCAGAUUCUCUGUAAGAUUAAGGUCGACUAUCGAACGGCGUAUAAAGGCUUUAAAACAAAGUAAACGCUGAAAGUUCAAACAUCGCUAAUGUCACAUAACUUUGCCGGCAUGUGGCCAACAGUAAUGUUUUAAUGUUUCUCAUUAUUAAACAUUUGCACAUAAAUAAGUGACAUAACAUUCAGUACUUACUUUUGAAAGUUUACUCUUUGGCUGCUCCGCUUCCACUUCUUUGAAGUGUCUCCCAGUCCCAGUGCACUUGUUAGCAUGUUUUGGUUCAUGCAACUGGUCCGUCCGCUUAUUGUCUCCCCAGAAACAUUUCCGUUGUGUUGUGUGUGCUUUUGCAGCGUUUUUCUUUUUGCAGCGUUUUUCUUUUUGCAGCAUUUUUCUUUUUGCAGCGUUUUUCUUUUUUGCAGCGUUUUUCUUUUUGCAGCAUUUUUCUUUUUGCAGCGUUUUUCUUUUCGCAGCAUUUUUCUUUUUGCAGCAUUUUUCUUUUUGCAGCAUUUUUCUUUUUGCAGGUGUUUUUCUUUUUGCAGCGUUUUUCUUUUUGCAGCGUUUUUCUUUUCGCAGCGUUUUUCUUUUCGCAGCAUUUUUCUUUUUGCAGCGUUUUUCUUUUUGCAGCGUUUUUCUUUUUGCAGCAUUUUUCUUUUUGCAGCGUUUUUCUUUUUGCAGCGUUUUUCUUUUUGCAGCAUUUUUCUUUUUGCAGCAUUUUUCUUUUUGCAGCGUUUUUCUUUUUGCAGCGUUUUUCUUUUUGCAGCGUUUUUCUUUUUGCAGCAUUUUUCUUUUUGCAGCGUUUUUCUUUUUGCAGCGUUUUUCUUUUUGCAGCGUUUUUCUUUUUGCAGGUGUUUUUCUUUUUGCAGCGUUUUUCUUUUUGCAGCAUUUUUCUUUUUGCAGCAUUUUUCUUUUUGCAGCGUUUUUCUUUUCGCAGCAUUUUUCUUUUUGCAGCAUUUUUUCUUUUUGCAGCAUUUUUCUUUUCGCAGCGUUUUUCUUUUUGCAGCGUUUUUCUUUUUGCAGCGUUUUUCUUUUUGCAGCAUUUUUCUUUUUGCAGGUGUUUUUCUUUUUGCAGCGUUUUUCUUUUUGCAGCAUUUUUCUUUUUGCAGCAUUUUUCUUUUUGCAGCGUUUUUCUUUUCGCAGCAUUUUUCUUUUUGCAGCAUUUUUUCUUUUUGCAGCGUUUUUCUUU